rnacentral:rRNA from 1 species
GAUUCUUGGUCAUUUAGAGGAAGUAAAAGUCGUAACAAGGUUUCCGUAGGUGAACCUGCGGAAGGAUCAUUAGCGAAAACGUUUGUUGAGAAGGGUUGUAGCUGGCCUUACCUGGCACGUGCACGCCCGGAUCGCAAAUCUCACCCUCCACACCUGUGCACAUCCAGCAGCUUUGCGACGCUGACGGAUAUGGAUUUCUUCCGAUUCGGAUGCGUCCUGGGCUUGCGAGCUUUUUUUAUCACACACACUCUUUGUCAAGUAUCAGAAUGUCGUGGCGCGUAGAAGCGCGAAACAAUACAACUUUCAGCAACGGAUCUCUUGGCUCUCGCAUCGAUGAAGAACGCAGCGAAAUGCGAUAAGUAAUGUGAAUUGCAGAAUUCAGUGAAUCAUCGAAUCUUUGAACGCACCUUGCGCUCCUUGGUAUUCCGAGGAGCAUGCCUGUUUGAGUGUCAUGAAAUCAUCAACUGCCUUGAUGGGCUUUUGCUCCCAGAAGGGUGAGGUUGGAUUUGGAGGAUGUUUUGCUGGCGGCUCUUCACCGAGCUUUUGUCGGCUCCUCUAGAAUGCAUGAGCCUUCCUGUGCACCAGCGGAAGCGACUCUCUGAUGUGAUAACUAUCUACGUCGGACGGUCGCGCUCGCUUUGGGCACGAUGGAUUGCAAAACGCGGCUCGCACCUUUCAGGAUGUGUGUCCUUGACAAAUUCGACCUCAAAUCAGGUAGGACUACCCGCUGAACUUAAGCAUAUCAAUAAGCGGAGGAAA